rnacentral:lncRNA from 1 species
UGUUCAUCUAACUCAUUAAUCAAAUAAUUAAGCAAACGUAUAUCUGAGCCAAAAUGAAGGAUGGUUAGUCGUUCGAAGUUUGUCCAGUAACUUGUCAUCAUGUCAGCUCACCGACCAGAAGUAUGACAGCUUCAACUCAACGCAACGCCAUUCUUUUCAACGGGGAGACAACUCAUCUUGGCUAUUCUCAAAUGACUUGGGGAAAAGAUUUGAAAACA